GCACUGGUCGUUCAGUGGUAGAAUUCCUGCCCGCCACAUGGGAGACCUGGGUUCAAUUCCCGGCCAGUGUG
rnacentral:tRNA from 1 species